rnacentral:lncRNA from 1 species
CUCAACAACAACCACAUUCUGAACCGCAACAACAACUACAAUCAGUGCAACAACAACCUGAAACGCAACAAUUACAAUAUGGUAAGAAAAAACCUUUUG